rnacentral:rRNA from 1 species
UACGGAGGGUGCAAGCGUUAUCCGGAUUCACUGGGUUUAAAGGGUGCGUAGGUGGGCAAGUAAGUCAGUGGUGAAAUCUCCGGGCUUAACCCGGAAACUGCCAUUGAUACUAUUUGUCUUGAAUACUGUGGAGGUCAGCGGAAUAUGUCAUGUAGCGGUGAAAUGCUUAGAGAUGACAUAGAACACCAAUUGCGAAGGCAGCUGGCUACACAUAUAUUGACACUGAGGCACGAAAGCGUGGGGAUCAAACAGG